GGAUCCCGGCCCCCCGGGGCUCGGGCGCACCACCGGCCCGCCUCCGCCCGUUCCUACGGGGAGGUGGAGCUUGAGCGCGUGCGAUAGUACCCNAAAGAUGGUGAACUAUGCCUGGGCAGGGC
rnacentral:rRNA from 1 species